rnacentral:rRNA from 1 species
CCUACGGGUGGCAGCAGUGAGGAAUAUUGGUCACUGGGCGCGAGCCUGAACCAGCCAAGUAGCGUGAAGGAUGACUGCCCUACGGGUUGUAAACUUCUUUUAUAAAGGAAUAAAGUGAGGCACGUGUGCCUUUUUGUAUGUACUUUAUGAAUAAGGAUCGGCUAACUCCGUGACAGCAGCCGCGGUAAUACGGAGGAUCCGAGCGUUAUCCGGAUUUAUUGGGUUUAAAGUGAACGUAGAUGGGUUGUUAAGUCAUGUGUGAAAGUUUGCGGCUCAACCGUAAAAUUGCAAUUGAGACUGGCAGCCUUGAGUACAGUUGAGGUAGGCGGAAUUCGUGGUGUAGCGGUGACAUGCUUAGAUAUCACGAAGAACCCCGAUUGCGAAGGCAGCGUGCCGUGCCGCCACUGACGCUGAGGCACGAAAGCGCGGGGAGCGAACAGGAUUAGAUACCCGUGUAGUC